rnacentral:rRNA from 1 species
GAACGCUGGCGGCGCGCCUAACACAUGCAAGUCGAACGAGUGAGAGAGAGCUUGCUUUCUCGACGCGAGUGGCGAACGGGUGAGUAACGCGUGAGGAACCUGCCUCAAAGAGGGGGACAACAGUUGGAAACGACUGCUAAUACCGCAUAAGCCCACGGCUCGGCAUCGAGCAGGGGGAAAAGGAGUAAUCCGCUUUGAGAUGGCCUCGCGUCCGAUUAGCUAGUUGGUGAGGUAAUGGCCCACCAAGGCAACGAUCGGUAGCCGGACUGAGAGGUUGAACGGCCACAUUGGGACUGAGACACGGCCCAGACUCCUACGGGAGGCAGCAGUGGGGAAUAUUGCACAAUGGGGGAAACCCUGAUGCAGCGACGCCGCGUGGAGGAAGAAGGUCUUCGGAUUGUAAACUCCUGUUGUUGGGGAAGAUAAUGACGGUACCCAACAAGGAAGUGACGGCUAACUACGUGCCAGCAGCCGCGGUAAAACGUAGGUCACAAGCGUUGUCCGGAAUUACUGGGUGUAAAGGGAGCGCAGGCGGGAAGACAAGUUGGAAGUGAAAUCUAUGGGCUCAACCCAUAAACUGCUUUCAAAACUGUUUUUCUUGAGUAGUGCAGAGGUAGGCGGAAUUCCCGGUGUAGCGGUGGAAUGCGUAGAUAUCGGGAGGAACACCAGUGGCGAAGGCGG